GACGAACGCUGGCGGCGUGCUUAACACAUGCAAGUCGAACGAAGAGCGAUGGAAGCUUGCUUCUAUCAAUCUUAGUGGCGAACGGGUGAGUAACGCGUAAUCAACCUGCCCUUCAGAGGGGGACAACAGUUGGAAACGACUGCUAAUACCGCAUACGAUCUAAUCUCGGCAUCGAGGAUAGAUGAAAGGUGGCCUCUACAUGUAAGCUAUCACUGAAGGAGGGGAUUGCGUCUGAUUAGCUAGUUGGAGGGGUAACGGCCCACCAAGGCGAUGAUCAGUAGCCGGUCUGAGAGGAUGAACGGCCACAUUGGGACUGAGACACGGCCCAGACUCCUACGGGAGGCAGCAGUGGGGAAUCUUCCGCAAUGGACGAAAGUCUGACGGAGCAACGCCGCGUGAGUGGUGACGGCCUUCGGGUUGUAAAGCUCUGUUAAUCGGGACGAAAGGCCUUCUUGCGAAUAGUGAGAAGGAUUGACGGUACCGGAAUAGAAAGCCACGGCUAACUACGUG
rnacentral:rRNA from 1 species